GCAGAGUAGAGGACUGUGCGUAAAGUGCCGGCAGAACGGGGAGUUGUUUGCCGGACGAAAAGGCAUUUGUUUAUUGAUAAAAGCCUUGCGGUAAAGUCCUUGCAUCCCGCUGC
rnacentral:ncRNA from 1 species